GUCUAUGGCCAUACCACCCUGAAUGUGCCUCAUCUCGUCUGAUCUCUCAAGCUAAGCAGGGUCACCCUGGUUAGUACUUGGAUGGGAGAAAUAAAUUCUCUCUAUGCUGGUUGUAGUGGCAUGUGCUGUUAUCC
rnacentral:rRNA from 1 species